GCAGAGCGCACAGCACCGGCACUGCAGCAGCCCGGGCCAGGGAGGGAACCAGCAUCACAGCCAGCGCCGCCUGCCCUGGGUAUAGGACUGAGGCCCAGGCCCCAGCGCUGGGAUUGCCUGGGCGGAGGAAUCUUGGGGAAAGGGGCAGCCUCCUGCCCUCGGUUCUGGGAUUUGGGUUUGGGAAGAGACGGUUUACCUUUGAAAAGCGUCUGCUCACUCGGAGGUGGGAUCCCAGGCCUUGCCUGGACCCAUGGGCUAGGAGAGGGUCGCGGCAGGCUGGGAGGAGAGUGAGGCCUUGGGGGAGUGGAUGGGGUGCCCCACGAAGAGUCUGCCUCAGAGCCAGGUGACACAGAGGGGCUCCAGGAGGGAGUCAGGCUCCGCUGAGAGCCCUUAGAGAGACAACCUAUCUUGGGGGAGGGGCUGAAGUGACCAUGCAGACCCAAGGGUACCAGAAGAGCCUCGGGGAAACGCGGCGUGGAUUCGCAGGCCUUGGCGGGGCUCCGAAGCAGUGAAGGGUCUAGGUAUAAGGCGGACACCCAGGCUAGGCCUGAAAGCAGAGGGGUGAGGAGGACGAAGGUGCGAGUGUGUGGGGGUUGUCUCUUGUGGGGAGCCAGCGGGAAGCCAAGCACCCUAAGAGUAGGACUCCAGAUCCUUUUGUUCACCAGACUCCCCAGAUUCUAGGGAGGCUGGGGACCACGGGCUGAGCCCCCUCCUGGCUUCAGUGCUGAAGGAGAAGGCAGAGAGGCAACGGGGAGAGAGACAGAGACAGUGACACACAGCUUAGAGGAAAGGAGGGGAGAGGAUGAGAGGACAGAGAGAGAGAGGAGAAGGGAGACAGGAAAGCAAGAGGAAGGAAGAAGGAAAGCGGAAAAGAAGAGGAAGGAGAGAAGUGAAGACAGGAGAGAGAAGGGAGAAGACUGAAGAGAAACGAGGCAAGGAGAAAGAGAGACAAGAACAGAGAGGGAAACCAGAGAGAAGGGAAGAGAGCCGGGUGGGCACGAAGGCCCCGGCCUGGGUGAGUGCCUAGGUGGUGAAUGGCCUGGGUUUUUCCGAGGCCAGCACUCGCACCCUUGGGGUCAGAACCGGAAAGAGCCAAGUCACUCCACUCUGAACGCGCUGGGCAGAAAAAUAUGUAAAUCAGGGCUCCCUGCGCCCUGGAGAGUGGCGAAAUUACUCCCGCCCGGUGAACAAGAAGCAACAAGCUCCCAGGCGGUUGCCCCCCAGCGGUCCCGGAAAAAGCGCUGUCCCUAUACCAAGUACCAGAUCCGCGAACUGGAACGCGAGUUUUUCUUUAACGUGUACAUAAACAAAGAGAAAAGACUUCAACUCUCUCGGAUGCUCAACCUCACUGACCGGCAAGUCAAAAUCUGGUUCCAGAAUCGCAGGAUGAAAGAAAAGAAACUGAACAGAGACCGUCUGCAGUAUUUCACUGGAAACCCCUUAUUUUGAGAGCUCCAGGAAGCGCCCUCACCCCAGCCCCACUCACCCACCCUCCUUCCCACCAGCCUGCUCUCCGCAGGCCCACUGUCCUUGGGUUUAAUGACGUCUCUUCUCUGUGGAACUUCACGAUUCCUUCCCACGGUCAACUCGGGACCUCCCAGCGACCACUGCAGCCUGCGGACGAGGCCGGGACUUGGCCGAGCGGAUCCUAAUAAGGGGAAAAUGAGGAAAUCAAGUCUGAUACACCAACCAGCAAUUGGCUCACUGCAAAGAGUGGCAGAAAGAAGAGGUGCCCUUACACUAAGCACCAAACGCUGGAAUUAGAAAAAGAGUUCUUGUUCAAUAUGUACCUCACCCGCGAGCGCCGCCUAGAGAUCAGUAAGAGCGUUAACCUCACCGACAGGCAGGUCAAGAUUUGGUUUCAAAACCGCCGAAUGAAACUCAAGAAGAUGAGCCGAGAGAACCGGAUCCGAGAACUGACCGCCAACCUCACGUUUUCUUAGGUCUGAGGCCGGUCUGAGGCCGGUCAGAGGCCAGGAUUGGAGAGGGGGCACCGCGUUCCAGGGCCCAGUGCUGGAGGACUGGGAAAGCGGAAACAAAACCUUCACCGCUCUUUGUUUGUUGUUUUGUUGUAUUUUGUUUUCCUGCUAGAAUGUGACUUUGGGG
rnacentral:lncRNA from 10 species